UUGCUUCUGGAAAUUUAAGUAGCUUUAGUGACAAACUAAACACAACCACUUACUGUGUUAAAUGUACAUCCUUGCUGCGAUACACGUUGUUUUGCAAGUGAAUGUAACUCCGUUGCUGACUGGAAAUUCCCAUGUCGGGCACAAGAGGAUACAACCAUCGAUGGAGAAUAUCUCGACUACAAACAAAUAAUGCCAAAUAAUUUUUUCUCGGAGAGUAACUCUACUCAAGCUUAGUUUAGUGGGCGUAUUAUUAGUUAGGAUAAACGGAGGUCGCUCGGGCAAUUUGCAAAGUAAAAUUACGUCAAACUUUGAGAAUGCUCUCUGAAUGUUGAAGGUGCUUUUGGAAAAUAUAACCUCUACAUUCAUCUAGAGCGCCUCAUCAUUUGUUCUACUACUACCAAGCCUCUAAUACCUGAUCACUGGCUUUGGAUUUGAUUCAACAUAGAGACAUUUACACAUAUACCACUUCACAGCAAACGUGAAUGAAAGUAUGUCGGGAGAUAAGAGCGAUAACCGCCGCGAACUUGGAACAAAACGCAGGCUCAACCAUGUUGCAAGUUCUGAAACCGUCGCUACAGAGAGGUGGCCUAUGUAGAAAAUAUAAAGGACUCGCCGGUUUCAAGCGGGUGAGAUACAAAUGUCGAACGUAACAGCAGAGCCCGCAUUCUGAGCUCGGCUACGAAAGCAAACACGUA